UACGUAGGGGGCAAGCGUUGUCCGGAAUCAUUGGGCGUAAAGCGCGUGUAGGCGGCUCGAUAAGUCUGCUGUGAAAGUCCAAGGCUCAACCUUGGGAUGCCGGUGGAUACUGUCGAGCUCGAGUCCGGAAGAGGAGUGUGGAAUUCCCGGUGUAGCGGUGAAAUGCGCAGAUAUCAGGAGGAACACCGAUGGCGAAGGCAGGUCUCUGGGCUGUAACUGACGCUGAGGAGCGAAAGCAUGGGGAGCGAACAGG
rnacentral:rRNA from 1 species